rnacentral:rRNA from 1 species
UACCUACGGGGGGCAGCAGUGGGGGAUAUUGCACAAUGGGGGAAACCCUGAUGCAGCGACGCCGCGUGGGUGAAGAAGCGCCUCGGCGCGUAAAGCCCUGUCAGCAGGGAAGAAAAUGACGGUACCUGAAGAAGAAGCCCCGGCUAACUACGUGCCAGCAGCCGCGGUAAUACGUAGGGGGCAAGCGUUAUCCGGAAUUAUUGGGCGUAAAGAGUACGUAGGCGGUUCUUUAAGCGUAGGGUCUAAGGCGAUGGCUUAACCAUCGUUCGCCCUGUGUACUGGAGGACUUGAGUAUCGGAGAGGAA